rnacentral:tRNA from 1 species
AGGCGAUUAGCUCAAUGGUAGAGCAGGGGUGCCACAUACCUCGGUCGUAGGUUCGAUUCCUACAUCGCCCACCA